rnacentral:rRNA from 1 species
AGCGAAAGCGAGUCUGAAGAGGGCGAAAUAGUACGAGGUCGCAGACCCGAAACCAGGUGAUCUACCCAUGUCCAGGGUGAAGGCAAGGUAACACUUGCUGGAGGCCCGAACCCACGCACGUUGAAAAGUGCGGGGAUGAGGUGUGGGUAGGGGUGAAAUGCCAAUCGAACUUGGAGAUAGCUGGUUCUCUCCGAAAUAGCUUUAGGGCUAGCCUCAAGGGAAGAGUCUUGGAGGUAGAGCACUGAUUGGACGAGGGGCCCCCAUCGGGUUACCGAAUUCAGUCAAACUCCGAAUGCCAAUGACUUAUCCUUGGGAGUCAGACUGCGAGUGAUAAGAUCCGUGGUCAAAAGGGAAACAGCCCAGACCGCCAGCUAAGGUCCCAAAGUAUACGUUAAGUGGAAAAGGAUGUGGAGCUGCUUAGACAACCAGGAUGUUGGCUUAGAAGCAGCCACCAUUUAAAGAGUGCGUAAUAGCUCACUGGUCGAGUGGCUCUGCGCCGAAAAUGUACCGGGGCUAAACGUAUCACCGAAGCUGCGGGUUGACACCGUUGGUGUCAGCGGUAGGAGAGCGUUCUAAGGGCAUCGAAGCCGGACCGGAAGGACCGGUGGAGCGCUUAGAAGUGAGAAUGCCGGUAUGAGUAGCGAAAGAGGGGUGAGAAUCCCCUCCGCCGAAAGCCUAAGGUUUCCUGAGGAAGGCUCGUCCGCUCAGGGUUAGUCGGGACCUAAGCCGAGGCCGAAAGGCGUAGGUGAUGGACAACAGGUUGAUAUUCCUGUACCACCUCCUCACCGUUUGAGCAAUGGGGGGACGCAGGAGGAUAGGG